rnacentral:rRNA from 1 species
AGCGAACGCUGGCGGCAGGCCUAACACAUGCAAGUCGAACGAACUCUUCGGAGUUAGUGGCGGACGGGUGAGUAACACGUGGGAACGUGCCUUUUGGCUCGGAAUAACUCAGGGAAACUUGUGCUAAUACCGAAUGUGCCCCUCGGGGGAAAGAUUUAUCGCCAUUAGAGCGGCCCGCGUCUGUUUAGCUUGUUGGGGAGGUAACGGCUCACCAAGGCGACGAUCAGUAGCUGGUCUGAGAGGAUGACCAGCCACACUGGGACUGGGCCACGGCCCAGACUCCUACGGGAGGCAGCAGUGGGGAAUCUUGCGCAAUGGGCGAAAGCCUGACGCAGCCAUGCCGCGUGAAUGAUGAAGGUCUUAGGAUUGUACAAUUCUUUCACCGGGGACGAUAAUGACGGUACCCGGAGAAGAAGCCCCGGCUAACUUCGUG